GCUGGUGUCCUGCGAAUUCACCAUAACAACCGUCAGUGACUCAGUAAUGGGUACUACAUCUAACGAUUCGUUUAAGUUGGUGGAUACAAUGACAUCCACAGAACGUACAUUAUUCAGACUUUAUAGUUCAUAACUCCACGUCACCUGGAAAUAGCUCUAGACUGAUAAAUGCACCGUCUUGCCCAGAAAAGAACCGAAACAGAGGCCUCAUUGUUGUUCGUAUCGACGGUGAAAUAGUGCCGGUAUUUAUCAGACCGAGGGAAGAUAUCGCGCUUUGUAGGAGGUUGAAAAAUAUUUCGUAAUAUAUUAGUUUCGUUCGUUGUAGGUGUUCCACGUGCAACGCUUUGUAUGGUAAUUGUGGCGGUUUUUAACCGUACCAUCGAAACGCAAUAAACAAAAUUGAAAAGUCACUUUUCUCUCGCAUAAAAAGCGUGCGCCCCGGAGCCAAACCCGCCGCCAAAUAUGGCCACAAUCCGAAAGAGACUAGAGUCGGGUCCGUUUCGGAUAAUUUCUCGCAACCUUCGCCGGAUUCUAGAUUAACGCCAAUACGAAUGAUAAUUACGCACACAACGAAAGAAUGCCGGCACUAAAACGGUCGCCAGAUCAGCUGGAAAAGGAAUCUCGCAUCACGGCAUAAUAUGUGGGAAAUAUGUUAAUGUUCCGGGCAAAUACAAAACAACAACAGGUGGUUUCUGUGUUUAUGGAGAGCCACAGUAUGUGUUUUGCAUGGCUUUAAGGCCAACGUUAUUGUUUCCAUCACGAAUGACAUCCAAGAACUAUUCGUACUGUUCUGUGAUUUUUAAUUGUUGCCGGGUAACACACGUCAGCAGCACCGAGCACCGUUGUACAGCAGGAGGAACGUUUUUGCAUACUCCGGUCAUACGCUUUGAUAAAUGGUUGCAGCAGGACUCGAUACCAUUCGAUUAAUCAGAACAAGACAGGACUGUAUGAACUAAAACGUGUGGGCUGAUUCAAUACACGUGCUAAAAAAAUACAACCUCGUUCACCCACACACACAUUCAUUGUAGAAAAUGUUGUUAAAUACAGAUGCAGAAAUUGAUAAUGGAGUAAUUAAUCAUGCAAAUUAAGUCUAUUUAUAUUUUGUUUUAGGUUGGGCGCCACUCAAUGGGAUUUGCAGUGAUUUUUACCACAUAAUUGACUGUUUCAGGAGCUGUUAUCCAUCAUUACAUCAUUGCUCUAAUUUUAACUUAAGUUAUUAAUGUAAUUAAAAUAGCAGAUCGUUACAUAAUAGUGUUUAUGGCUUAUAAUAAUAAAUAAAAUUGAUAGAAGUUGCCCAUAAAAACAA